GACGAACGCUGGCGGCGUGCCUAACACAUGCAAGUCGAGCGAAUGAAGUUCCUUCGGGAAUGGAUUUAGCGGCGGACGGGUGAGUAACACGUGGGCAACCUGCCUCAUAGAGGGGAAUAGCCUUUCGAAAGGAAGAUUAAUACCGCAUAAGAUUGUAGCUUCGCAUGAAGUAGCAAUUAAAGGAGCAAUCCGCUAUGAGAUGGGCCCGCGGCGCAUUAGCUAGUUGGUGAGGUAACGGCUCACCAAGGCGACGAUGCGUAGCCGACCUGAGAGGGUGAUCGGCCACAUUGGGACUGAGACACGGCCCAGACUCCUACGGGAGGCAGCAGUGGGGAAUAUUGCACAAUGGGGGAAACCCUGAUGCAGCAACGCCGCGUGAGUGAUGACGGCCUUCGGGUUGUAAAGCUCUGUCUUCAGGGACGAUAAUGACGGUACCUGAGGAGGAGGCCACGGCUAACUACGUGCCAGCAGCCGCCGUAA
rnacentral:rRNA from 1 species